rnacentral:rRNA from 1 species
GAAAACUCCGGUGGUAUGGGAUGGGCCCGCGUCUGAUUAGCUCGUUGGCGGGGUAACGGCCCACCAAGGCGACGAUCAGUAGCCGGCCUGAGAGGGCGGCCGGCCACAUUGGGACUGAGACACGGCCCAGACUCCUGCGGGAGGCAGCAGUGGGGAAUAUUGCACAAUGGGGGAAACCCUGAUGCAGCGACGCCGCGUGAGCGAUGAAGUAUCUCGGUAUGUAAAGCUCUAUCAGCAGGGAAGAAAGUGACAGUACCUGACUAAGAAGCCCCGGCUAACUACGUGCCAGCAGCCGCGGUAAUACGUAGGGGGCAAGCGUUAUCCGGAUUCACUGGGCGUAAAGGGAGCGCAGGCGGCACGGCAAGUCUGGUGUGAAAACCCGGGGCUCAACCCCGGGACUGCAUUGGAAACUGCCGGGCUGGAGUGUCGGAGGGGUAAGCGGAAUUCCUAGUGUAGCGGUGAAAUGCGUAGAUAUUAGGAGGAACACCAGUGGCGAAGGCGGCUUACUGGACGAUGACUGACGCUGAGGCUCGAAAGCGUGGGGAGCAAACAGGAUUAGAUACCCUGGUAGUCCACGCCGUA